rnacentral:lncRNA from 1 species
CGACACCCGCCGCCACACAAAGGCGCUGCGUCCUGGCGGCCAGCGGGGGCUUAGUCUAGGCCCGGCAGGGUUUUCUGGAAGACCAGAGGGCCACCAGGUCACCGAGGUGGGAAGUGAAGAGAGGUUCGACGCUGCCUCAGGCCUGGGCCUGGCCGGUGGGAGACACAGCAAGGACUCUGGGAGCCUGCAGAGCAGAGGCCGCCGCGGGGCCGGGCCCCCGUCUCCUCCUCAGGUCCAAGACCAGAGGGUCUGCAGGGCCCCAGAGCAGCUGGCCGCGCUCCGCUUCCCACCGCGCUCUCUGCUGGAACUCAUGUGGUCUAGGGGUCAGAAAUCUGCAAUCAGUUUCGGUGGACCAAAAUGAAAAUGUCAAACAGGGUGUCUGACACCCUCCAGAAGCACCAGAGGAGAAGCAGCUUUCCUUGGCCUUCCCAGGCAAAUCUCCCUCUGCCUCUCUCCCCUGGUGACGACAAUGGCUGGGGUCUUGACUUGCCAAGGGCAGCGUGGCCCGUACUGGUCACCUGGGUAUAGCUUUACUGAAUUUCGCAGAUCUGGAAACGGAGAAGGGACUGGAUCUCCAAACUUGGACUGCCUUGGACUGACCCUGGCCUGGAAGGUGUGGGCUCAGGACUCCGAGCUCAAGUCAGUCUGUUCCCCCAACCCCUAACCCACUGCAUCCGGGUGAGGAGUUGGGCCCGAGCGCCACAGCGCAGAUAGGGUUGUUAGGAGCGAAAGACUGGAGACCCAGGGACUGUGGGGCUGGGCUGGUGGGGCCACUGCUACCGACUAAGCAGUACGGGCCGCCUGGAAGACCGAAGGCGGAGUUCGCUGAUGCGGAAGCCAAGGCACAGGGCAAUAAGGAUCCGCGCCAUUUCUUGUGAUGUCACCUGAAGCCUUGGCGGGUAGCUGCCUCUCAUCCAUUCGGAGGACAGGGCUCCAGCCACCGGCAGCUCUGAAAGAGUUUGAAGAAUUUAUUGUUCACAGAUGGUAUUUAAAUGGACUUAUUUCUAAAAGUCACAUUCCUUUAUUACUUAUUUGUUAUUAGAAGUACCCAUUUUCAUAUGUGUUUAAAACUAUUUGUGUCUCAAAUUCUCAGGAGAUUGAUGCAUCCCAGUUUACUCUUUUUGGCAUAUGUUUUUACUCAUAAAUUAGGUUAAAUUUCAUACUUGUUUUAUAAAAUUUAGUUAUUUGGUUACAUUAAAAUAUUUGUAUCCAGAUAAGAAGUCUCUUCCUUCUCCUA